rnacentral:rRNA from 1 species
GAUGAACGCUGGCGGCGUGCCUAAUACAUGCAAGUCGAGCGAACGGACGAGAAGCUUGCUUCUCUGAUGUUAGCGGCGGACGGGUGAGUAACACGUGGAUAACCUACCUAUAAGACUGGGAUAACUUCGGGAAACCGGCGCUAAUACCGGAUAAUCUUUUGCACCGCAUGGUUCAAAGGUGAAAGACGGUCUUGCUGUCACUUAUAGAUGGAUCCGCGCUGCAUUAGCUAGUUGGUAAGGUAACGGCUUACCAAGGCAACGAUGCAUAGCCGACCUGAUAGGGUGAUCGGCCACACUGGAACGGAGACACGGUCCAGACGCCUACGGGAGGCAGCAGUAGGGAAUCUUCCGCAAUGGGCGAAAGCAUGACGGAGCGACGCCGCGUGAGUGAUGAAGGUCUUCGGAUCGUAAAACUCUGUUAUUAGGGAAGAACAUAUGUGGAAGUAACUGUGCACAUCGUGACGGUACCUAAUCAGAAAGCCACGGCUAACUACGUG